UGUGUGUGCGCGCGCGCGCACGCGCUGGGACCCCACUUGACAAAUUGACCAAAGGAGCAUUAGUGGAAAAAAACAGGGUAGCCCUGAGACAAUAGGAUGACGUCACGACCAAUGAGAACCGCCAGCAGGGGGCGCAAGGAUUCACUUCUCUCUUGGACACUGACGGGUCUCGACACGCAAAUUCUGCUCCUGGCGUUGGCCGUCAGUGGAAGAGCGUAGCUUCGGUGGGGUUCUGUCUGCCUCUGAUGGGGUGCGGAUGUGGUUCGUCACUGGUGAAUGGUGUUCGACGAUGCAGGUGGAUUUUGUGACGAGCGGAUUUACAAUGAGGGAAUGCUGUGAACAGGAAAAAUGAUGAGCUGUCCUAACUUGCCCAGACAUGCCAUGAUGACGUCACAGCUGACGUCACAGGAUGUCCGGAACUGGUGCUGCGAUGCUUUGGAACCUGCCUCCGUGCUUCGUCGCCCAGCGACAGUCAGCGGCCGUUCCGGACCGCUUUCUACAAGAUGGCGUCGUUGAUCUUCAACUAAACUCCUUCUCUCCACUCUAUCUCUAUCUUUUUAUUUUAUUUUCUACCUAUUUUUUUAUUUUUUAUCAGCUCAAGUAGCCGGAAACUCACACAGUGGUCUGGACGUGUCUUAGAUGAUCCCCAAUUAGUGUACUGACUCCCUGAAUGAUCCUAAUUACUGUGGGGGGUCCCAAAUUGCUCUAAUUGCUAAUUAAUGGCGUCCAGACGAAGAUGUGAGUUUCCGGAUACUUGAGC